UACGUAGGGUGCGAGCGUUAAUCGGAAUUACUGGGCGUAAAGCGUGCGCAGGCGGUUCGUUGUGUCGGCGGUGAAAGCCCCGGGCUUAACCUGGGAAUGGCCGUUGAAACUGGCGAACUGGAGUGUGGCAGAGGGGGGUGGAAUUCCGCGUGUAGCAGUGAAAUGCGUAGAGAUGCGGAGGAACACCGAUGGCGAAGGCAGCCCCCUGGGCUGACACUGACGCUCAGGCACGAAAGCGUGGGGAGCAAAAGGG
rnacentral:rRNA from 1 species